CGCGACGAUUUCAGAGUUUGAUCCUGGCUCAGAUUGAACGCUGGCGGCAUGCCUUACACAUGCAAGUCGAACGGCAGCACGGACUUCGGUCUGGUGGCGAGUGGCGAACGGGUGAGUAAUGUAUCGGAACGUACCUUUCAGUGGGGGAUAACGUAGCGAAAGUUACGCUAAUACCGCAUAUUCUGUGAGCAGGAAAGCAGGGGAUCGCAAGACCUUGCGCUGAUUGAGCGGCCGAUAUCAGAUUAGCUAGUUGGUGGGGUAAAGGCCUACCAAGGCUACGAUCUGUAGCGGGUCUGAGAGGAUGAUCCGCCACACUGGAACUGAGACACGGUCCAG
rnacentral:rRNA from 1 species